rnacentral:rRNA from 1 species
GUGUCUAAGGCAUGCAAGUCGAGCGAGAACUUUGGUCUUCGGACCAAAGGGACAGCGGCAAACGGGAGAGUAACACCUUAGUAACCUACCCCAAAGAGAGGAAUAACUCAUCGAAAGAUGGGCUAAUACCUCAUGUGCUAUUGUAUCUAAUGUUAUAAUAGUAAAGUUCCGGCGCUUUGGGAGGGGCUUAGGUCCUAUCAGCUAGUUGGUGAGAUAACAGCUCACCAAGGCAACGACGGGUAGCGGGUGUGAGAGCAUGAUCCGUCCCACUGGAACUGAGAUACGGUCCAGACUCCUACGGGAGGCUGCAGUCAAGAAUCUUCCCCAAUGCGCGAAAGCGUGAGGGAGCGACGCCGCGUGUAGGAUGAAGCCCUUCGGGGUGUAAACUACUUUUAUCAAGGACGAACUAAUGACGGUACUUGAUGAAUAAGGGGCUGCCAACUUCGUGCCAGCAGCAGCGGUAAUACGAAGGCCCCAAGCGUUAUCCGGAAUUACUGGGCGUAAAGCGUCUGUAGGCGGUUAGGUAAGUUAACGGUUAAAUCCUGGAGCUCAACUCCAGAACAGCCGCUAAUACUAUCUGACUAGAGGAUGGGAGAGGUCAACGGAAUUGCCGGUGUAGUAGUAAAAUGCAUUGAUAUCGGCAGGAACACCAAAAGCGAAGGCAGUUGACUGGAACAUUCCUGACGCUGAGAGACGAAAGCGUGGGUAGCGAAAGGGAUUAGAUACCCCUGUAGUCCACGCCGUAAACGAUGGAUGCUAGGUGCUGGAAGUUUCGACCCUUUCAGUGCCGGGUAGUCAAGCUAACGCCUUAAGCAUCCCGCCUGGGAAGUACGGCCGCAAGGCUAAAACUCAAAGGAAUUGACGGGGACCCGCACAAGCGGUGGAGCAUGUGGUUUAAUUCGACGAUAAGCGGAGAACCUCACCAAGGUUUGACAUCUCUGGAAGUUUUUAGAAAUAAAAAUGUGCCUUCGGGAACCAGAUGACAGGUGCUGCAUGGUUGCCGUCAGCUCGUGUCGUGAGAUGUACGGUUAAGUCCGGCAACGAGCGCAACCCUCGUCCUAUGUUAUAUUUUUCAUAGGAGACUGCCAGCUUUAAGCUGGAGGAAGGUGGGGACGACGUCAAAUCAGCAUGGCCCUUAUACCUUGGGCUACACACGUGCUACAAUGGGUAAGACAACGGGCAGCUAAGCCGCAAGGUGUAGCGAAUCCCUUAAACUUAUCCUCAGUUCGGAUUGAGGUCUGCAACUCGACCUCAUGAAGUUGGAAUCGCUAGUAACCGCGAAUCAGCCACGUCGCGGUGAUACGUUCUCGGGUCUUGUACACACCGCCCGUCACGCCAAGAGAGUCGGUAAUACCCGAACUAUGUUGUAUAACAUA